AACGAACGCUGGCGGCAGGCCUAACACAUGCAAGUCGAGCGGACCUUUCGGGGUCAGCGGCGGACGGGUGAGUAACGCGUGGGAAUAUGCCCUUCUCUACGGAAUAGUCCUGGGAAACUGGGGGUAAUACCGUAUACGCCCUUUGGGGGAAAGAUUUAUCGGGGAAGGAUUAGCCCGCGUUGGAUUAGGUAGUUGGUGGGGUAAUGGCCUACCAAGCCGACGAUCCAUAGCUGGUUUGAGAGGAUGAUCAGCCACACUGGGACUGAGACACGGCCCAGACUCCUACGGGAGGCAGCAGUGGGGAAUAUUAGACAAUGGGGGCAACCCUGAUCUAGCCAUGCCGCGUGAGUGAUGAAGGCCUUAGGGUUGUAAAGCUCUUUCAGCUGGGAAGAUAAUGACGGUACCAGCAGAAGAAGCCCCGGCUAACUCCGUG
rnacentral:rRNA from 1 species